GAUGAACGCUAGCGGAGGCUUAACACAUGCAAGUCGAGGGGCAGCAUGGGGUAGCAAUACUCUGAUGGCGACCGGCAAACGGGUGAGUAACGCGUAUGCAACCUACCCUGUACAGGGGGAUAACCCGGAGAAAUUCGGACUAAUAUCCCGUAAUAAUAUCCGGAGGCAUCUUUGGAUAUUUAAAGUUUCGACGGUACGGGAUGGGCAUGCGUAACAUUAGCUGGUUGGUAAGGUAACGGCUUACCAAGGCUAUGAUGUUUAGGGGUCCUGAGAGGGUGGUCCCCCACACUGGUACUGAGACACGGACCAGACUCCUACGGGAGGCAGCAGUGAGGAAUAUUGGUCAAUGGGCGCAAGCCUGAACCAGCCAUCCCGCGUGCAGGAAGACGGCCCUAUGGGUUGUAAACUGCUUUUCCAGGGAGAGAAACUUACGCACGUGUUGCGUGACUGACGGUACCCUGGGAAUAAGCAUCGGCUAACUCCGUG
rnacentral:rRNA from 1 species